UACGGGGGGGGCAAGCGUUGUUCGGAAUUACUGGGCGUAAAGGGCUCGUAGGCGGCCAACUAAGUCAGACGUGAAAUCCCUUGGCUUAACCGGGGAACUGCGUCUGAUACUGGAUGGCUUGAGGUUGGGAGAGGGAUGCGGAAUUCCAGGUGUAGCGGUGAAAUGCGUAGAUAUCUGGAGGAACACCGGUGGCGAAGGCGGCAUCCUGGACCAAUUCUGACGCUGAGGAGCGAAAGCCAGGGGAGCAAACGGG
rnacentral:rRNA from 1 species